rnacentral:rRNA from 1 species
CGGCAUGCCUAAGACAUGCAAGUCGAACGAGGUGGCCCAUAGAAGAUGGAGUGCUUGCACAAAAUCGGACAUGGAUUCCCACCUAGUGGCAGACGGGUGAGUAACACGUGGGUGACCUACCUUUAAGAUGGGGAUAACAGUUGGAAACGAUUGCUAAUACCGAAUAAGAUAUAACGGUCGAAGUUAUAUAGAAAGGAGCCUUUAAAGCUUCGCUUAGAGAUGGGCCUGCGGCGUAUUAACUAGUUGGCAGGGUAAUGGCCUACCAAGGUAACGAUGCGUAGCCGGACUGAGAGGUUAGACGGCCACACUGGGACUGAGACACGGCCCAGACUCCUACGGGAGACAGCAGUUAGGAAUAUUCGUCAAUGGGGGAAACCCUGAACGAGCAAUGCCGCGUGAGUGAAGAAGGUCUUUGGAUUGUAAAACUCUGUUGUAUGGAAAGAAUGUGCAUAUUAGGAAAUGAAUAUGCAGUGACGGUACCAUGCGAGAAAGCCCCGGCUAACUACGUGCC